CAACCAAAGAUUUCACAUGCUGUACAGCCGAUUAACUUUGUUAGAGAGCAUGUGGAAUUUUUAGUUGCU
ensembl:miRNA